rnacentral:rRNA from 1 species
GACGAACGCUGGCGGCGUGCCUAAUACAUGCAAGUCGAACGCAGUGGGGACGGGUGAGUAACACGUGGGUAACCUCCCAUCAGAGGGGAUAACACUUGGAAACAGGUGCUAAACCGAUAUGGGUGGAUGGACUCGGUGUGCAUUAGCUAGUGGGUGAGGUAACGGCCCACCAAGGCAACGAUGCCGAGCGGGCCUGGGAGGGUGAUCGGCCACACGGGAACUGAGACACGGCCCAGACUCCUACGGGAGGCAGCAGUAGGGAAUCUUGCGCAAUGGGCGAAAGUCUGACCGAGCCACGCCGCGUGAGUGAAGAAGGUUUUCGGAUCGUAAAACACUGUUGUUAGAGAAGCGGUACCUAAAGAGAAAGCCACGGCUAACUACGUGCCAGCCGCCGCGGUAAUAC